GUACACACCGCCCGUCGCUACUACCGAUUGAAUGGCUCAGUGAGGCGUCCGGACUGGCCCAGAGAGGUGGGCAACUACCACUCAGGGCCGGAAAGCUCUCCAAACUCGGUCAUUUAGAGGAAGUAAAAGUCGUAACAAGGUCUCCGUUGGUGAACCAGCGGAGGGAUCAUUA
rnacentral:rRNA from 1 species